UACGUAGGGUGCGAGCGUUGUCCGGAAUUAUUGGGCGUAAAGAGCUUGUAGGCGGUUUGUCGCGUCUGCUGUGAAAAUCCGGGGCUCAACUCCGGACUUGCAGUGGGUACGGGCAGGCUAGAGUGUGGUAGGGGAGACUGGAAUUCCUGGUGUAGCGGUGGAAUGCGCAGAUAUCAGGAGGAACACCGAUGGCGAAGGCAGGUCUCUGGGCCACUACUGACGCUGAGAAGCGAAAGCCAGGGGAGCAAACGGG
rnacentral:rRNA from 1 species